rnacentral:lncRNA from 1 species
AAGCUUCUUUCAGUGCAAGAAACACACAACAAAAUUUGGGGACGGAUUACAGCUUUGGAUAGCUACACGUAGCUAAUCUCUUCCCUUCUCUAUACACUUUUUAAAGGUUUUUCAAAUUUAGUUUUGAUACAAGGAUCUCUUCCCUUCUCUAUACACUUUUUAAAGGUUUUUCAAAUUUAGUUUUGAUACAAGGAUCAAGGAUGCAUUCAUUGUAAAAAGGACUUUUUGUUUUAAAUAUAUUUUCACAUUCAUUAAAAAAAAAAAUAAUCAAAAUAAUAUUAAAUUAUAAGGAUUAUAUAUUUAGAUAAGAAUUUAAUAUAGUUAUAUUUAUAUUACAUAAAGCAUAUUGUGUACAUGUGUAGUGUUAAUAUGUUAUAGUAAAGAUUUUACAAAAAAAA